rnacentral:rRNA from 1 species
AUGCACGCUAGCUACAGGCUUCACACCUGCCAGUCGCGGCGCAGCAUGACCUAGCAUUCGGUUGAUGGCGACCGGCGCCCGGGUGAGUAACACGUAUCCAACCUGCCUAUUAUUCCGGGAUAGCCUUUCGAAAGCAAGAUUAAUACUGGAUAGCAUAACGCGAAGGCAUCUUCUUGUUAUUAAAGAAUUUCGAUAAUCGAUGGGGAUUCGUUCCAUUAGUUUGUUGACGGGGUAACGGCCCACCAAGACAUCGAUGGAUAGGGGUUCUGAGAGGAAGGUCCCCCACAUUGGAACGGAGACACGGUCCAAACUGCUACGGGAGGAAGCAGUGUGGAAUAGUGGUCAAUGGACGGGAGUCUGAACCAGCCAAGUAGCGUGAAGGAGGACUGCCCUAUGGGUAGUAAACUUCUUUUAUACGGGAAUAGAGUGCGCCACGUGUGGCUUUUUGGAUGUACCAUACGAAUAAGGAUCGGCUAACUCCGUG